rnacentral:rRNA from 1 species
GACGAACGCUGGCGGCGUGCUUAACACAUGCAAGUCGAACGGAAAGGCCCUGCUUGCAGGGUGCUCGAGUGGCGAACGGGUGAGUAACACGUGGGUGAUCUGCCCCUUACUUUGGGAUAAGCCUUGGAAACUGGGUCUAAUACUGGAUAGGACCAUGCUGUAGGUGGUGUGGUGGAAAGAUUAGUUUCGGUAAGGGAUGAGCUAGCGGCCUAUCAGCUUGUUGGUGGGGUAAUGGCCUACCAAGGCGUCGACGGGUAGCCGGCCUGAGAGGGUGGACGGCCACAUUGGGACUGCGACACGGCCCAGACUCCUACGGGCGGCAGCAGUGGGGAAUAUUGCACAAUGGGCGCAAGCCUGAUGCAGCGACGCCGCGUGGGGGAUGACGGCCUUCGGGUUGUAAACUCCUUUCAGCCAUGACGAAGCCCUUGUGGUGACGGUAGUGGUAGAAGAAGCCCCGGCUAACUACGUG